AACGAACGCUGGCGGCAGGCCUAACACAUGCAAGUCGAACGCCCCGCAAGGGGAGUGGCAGACGGGUGAGUAACACGUGGGAAUCUUCCUCGUAGUACGGAACAACUCAGGGAGACUUGAGCUAAUACCGUAUACGCCCUUCGGGGGAAAGAUUUAUCGCUAUGAGAUGAGCCCGCGUCCGAUUAGCUAGUUGGUGAGGUAAUGGCUCACCAAGGCUACGAUCGGUAGCUGGUCUGAGAGGAUGAUCAGCCACAUUGGGACUGAGACACGACCCAAACUCCUACGGGAGGCAGCAGUGGGGAAGAUUGGACAAUGGGCGCAAGCCUGAUCCAGCCAUGCCGCGUGAGUGACGAAGGCCUUAGGGUUGUAAAGCUCUUUUGGCGGUGAAGAUAAUGACGGUACCCGCAGAAUAAGCUCCGGCUAACUUCGUGCCAGCCGCCGCAGUAA
rnacentral:rRNA from 1 species